GCCUGGGUGGCUCAGUCGGUGAAGCGUCCGACUUCAGCUCGGGUCACGAUCUCACCGUCCGUGAGUUCGAGCCCCGCGUCGGGCU
rnacentral:tRNA from 1 species